rnacentral:lncRNA from 1 species
CCAAAAGAUCUCAGCCAGCAUUUGGAAACAAUAGACAUUGACAAAAUUAUGAUCUGCCAACUGCAAAAGGCCACCCUACUGGGAUCUGCGCACAUCAUCCAAAAAUACAUCACACAGUCCUAGACACUUGGGAAGUGUUCGACUUGUGAUUUUGUGAUACGAAAUCCAGCAUAUCUAUCUUGUUUGCUGUGUCAUAAUAAAACAAUAAUAAAUUAUUGGUGGAAUUGUUUUGAAGGUAAGGCUGAAAUUUUAAUUUAUGGGGACAUUUUGAUUUUUCUGGUGUAUUAUUGUAGUAAAGAUGUAUUUUUGUUGUUGUCAUUGUUGUUAAAUGGUUUCCUGCAGAAGUGGCGGUCAGGGGUGCUUAUUAUCAGCUUUGGUUGACAUGCCAGUUGCCCCUUCCUAGAAUUAGAAGACCUAAAUAUGAUAGCGCAUGUGCCCCAAGAUUGGACUUCUGCGAUGUGUUGUACAUUGGACUACCUCUGCGGCAAGUUUGGAAACUCCAGUUAGCUGAAAACAUGGUAGCCUGACUGGUUAUGGGCAUAUUAUACCCUACACCUAAAUCACUCCACUAGUUGCCAAUUAGUUUCUGGGCAAAGGAUGAGCAUUGGUUAUUACCUUUAAAGCCCUACAUGGUUUGGGUUCAGGUUACCUACAGGAUCACUUUAUCCCAUACAAUCCACCUCAGAUCCCUACAUCCUCUGAGGGAUGCUUACUUCAAUCACUCUGAACCUGGAUGGCAACUAUCUCCCAAACCCAGAGAAUCUUUUCAUUUCCUAGACUGUAGAAUGAUCUGCCAGAAGAAAUCCGUCAAAUGAGUUGUCAGAACCUGAAACACAGUUCCCAUUCCAAUAUAGCACUUUGUCCUGUAUUCAAGAGGAAUUUGACGCGAUUGAAGAUCAAGGAGAAGUCAUGGAAAAAGGCAGGCAAAAAUAAAUUCGCUCCACAGGCCUGCAGGGCAGUGAGGGUGGGAGACGUUAACAAGCCAGACUUUGCACCAAGUCCUUUUCGUUUGAGCCAGUUCCAAAAUUUAGCACAGAAGAACCGCUUAUCACAUUGA